CACUAUCGUUAACUGAAUACAUAGGUUAACGAGGCGAACCGGGGGAACUGAAACAUCUAAGUACCCCGAGGAAAAGAAAUCAACCGAGAUUCCCCCAGUAGCGGCGAGCGAACGGGGAGCAGCCCAGAGUCUGAAUCAGCUUGUGUGUUAGUGGAACGGUCUGGAAAGUCCGACGGUACAGGGUGAUAGUCCCGUACACCAAAAUGCACAGGCUGUGAACUCGAAGAGUAGGGCGGGACACGUGGUAUCCUGUCUGAAUAUGGGGGGACCAUCCUCCAAGGCUAAAUACUCCUGACUGACCGAUAGUGAACCAGUACCGUGAGGGAAAGGCGAAAAGAACCCCGGCGAGGGGAGUGAAAAAGAACCUGAAACCGUGUACGUACAAGCAGUGGGAGCACCUUCGGGUGUGACUGCGUACCUUUUGUAUAAUGGGUCAGCGACUUAUAUUCUGUAGCAAGGUUAACCGUAUAGGGGAGCCGCAGGGAAACCGAGUCUUAACUGGGCGUUAAGUUGCAGGGUAUAGACCAGAAACCCGGUGAUCUAGCCAUGGGCAGGUUGAAGGUUGGGUAACACUAACUGGAGGACCGAACCGACUAAUGUUGAAAAAUUAGCGGAUGACUUGUGGCUGGGGGUGAAAGGCCAAUCAAACCGGGAGAUAGCUGGUUCUCCCCGAAAGCUAUUUUGGUAGCGCCUCGUGAAUUCAUCUUCGGGGGUAGAGCA
rnacentral:rRNA from 1 species